rnacentral:lncRNA from 1 species
GCCGCGCACCAACGGCCGCCGCUCCCCUCAGCGCAGCCUCGGGGGGCGGCGGCGGUGUCCCUCUACGCUGCCCGCGGCGGCGGCGCCGGCCGUGGCCGUCGUCGGGGCGGUCGCUGGCCCCAGUUGCCAGACGGCGAAGGGGGGACGCGGGGCUGCGGAUUAUUGCAGACUAAGCAGUCUGGCGCUGCAGCAGAGGGCGAGGGGGGGAGGCGGAUCAUGUAGAAAGGACAGAAAGUGAGCAGGGAGCGGGGGCUUUUGUCUAUCCUUGUGCUACCUGAGAGAAGCUGCAGUCCCAAGACCUUACAGUCUAAAAAUG